rnacentral:rRNA from 1 species
GAUGAACGCUGGCGGCGUGCCUAAUACAUGCAAGUCGAGCGAACAGACGAGAGUGCUUGCACUCUCUGACGUUAGCGGCGGACGGGUGAGUAACACGUGGGUAACCUACCUAUAAGACUGGGAUAACUUCGGGAAACCGGAGCUAAUACCGGAUAAUAUUUAGCUUCGCAUGAAGCAAUAGUGAAAGACGGUUCUGCUGUCACUUAUAGAUGGACCCGCGGUGUAUUAGCUAGUUGGUGAGGUAACGGCUCACCAAGGCAACGAUGCAUAGCCGACCUGAGAGGGUGAUCGGCCACACUGGGACUGAGACACGGCCCAGACUCCUACGGGAGGCAGCAGUAGGGAGUCUUCCGCAAUGGACGAAAGUCUGACGGAGCAAUGCCGCGUGAGUGAAGAAGGUUUUCGGAUCGUAAAACUCUGUUGUAAGGGAAGAACAAGUACGUUAGUAACUGAACGUACCUUGACGGUACCUUACCAGAAAGCCACGGCUAACUACGUG